rnacentral:lncRNA from 1 species
GCCGGUGGAGCUGGUUAUGGAGAUGGCAGAAGAGGCUGGUUGUUGUGGUGGCUGGUCGUUUUGAGAGGAGAGGUGCCGGCGGCGUUGGGCUGCUAUGGAGGGGCUGCUGUCGAAAGAGACGAGUUCAAGGGGGGUCGUUCUUUAGUUCUUGCGGCUGUUUUUCUGAAAGUUUUCUAGGGUUGUUUUGUUGCUUCUAUUCAUGGAGAAGAUGAAUCUUAGCUUCCAAAAAUAGAAAUAGCCGAUCUUAGCUUUGUGCGUAUAGGUCUGUUUAGGUGUUAGCUCUAAUGGAGAAGAUGAGCUAAUGGUCUACUGUGUAUUCCCCAUUCUGAAAACGGCCGGUCUUAGCUUAGUCUUAGGUCUAUCUUUUCUUCUUUUUUUUUUUGUAUUUUUCUCUUGAUUUCUGAAGCAAAAAAUGGCGGAUUGUUUAUGUGUAGAGUCUAGGUCUUAGGUCAUUAGGGUGUAGGUCCUUUUAUAGUCCAAGUCUAGGGUUUUAGGGGUAUUGGGAUUGGAAAUUAUGGGCUAGAGAUUUAUGGGCUAGGUCCGAAAAUCAGUACUAAAAAAGGUUGUUUGAGCCCAAAUUUAUUCUUUCUCCGCGAACGAGAUUAAAAUACGACCUCAUUUAUUAAUUGGUCCUACUUAAGUAAAAUAACUGUUAAAAUAAGGCUGACCGUUAACACAUAACUAUUUUUGAUAUUUUCCAAGAUUAAAAAUGACUACAAAAUAUUAAUGAAACUAUUUUUUUUAAUUUUCAAGAGUCAAAAUUAGUUGAAAUAGCAAUAUUAGGCCUAAAUUAAAUAUUUACAUGCUAAAUAUAAAAAAUCUUGUGGAGGGUCAAAAAUCAGAUGUCUACAGUUGCCCCUCUUUGAUUAGAAACACGAAGAGUUUUCAGACAAAGAACGACUAGACAGAUUUUUUGACCCGACCCUUAUUUAAUGAGACUAGAAGCUAAAAGAAAGGAGAAUUUGACCGAGCCCCGGUAUCUGAGCUGCCUACAUAUCCUUGUCUAUAAAAGAAUUAGGCCACGUGUAGUUCAAAAGUAAGUGAGAUGAUGAAGUAUACCGAGGUGGAGAGCCGAUCGAGGUACCAUUCCGUCGAGGUUCCGGUCCGCAGUCCUGUUAUAACAUCAAAAUGAAAAAAUGAAAAAAGACUAACUAAGCCUGUUAACUAUGAGUUACAAGAUUCCUAUCUAUAACUCUUCUGAAGCUUGAUCUUGAGUCUUGAAUGGUUUUUCAUGCAGACUUUGGAUUUGAACCUUGAUGCUUGCUAGUUGCAGGUGCUAGUUCAUUCUUCUUCAGCUUUUCAGACCAAAACCGGACAUACCAUGCUUGUGACUUCAGUCAUGUCUUGAGCGGCUCACAUCUUUCAUCAACUUCUGUAUUUGGAUUCACUUCUUGCCUUUCUUUUUUAUAUUCUAGGUUGUGACUAACUUUCGUUGAUCAUCUCAGACUGUUGACUCACAUUCUUGUCGUGAGCUUCUUUUGUUGCUGACUUGAAUUGCAUUCUAAAGUGAAUUCUCUUAUUCUCCAGGUAGGUUGAUUGCCAAUAUUCGAACUAUCUUCCUUUGAACAUUGUUGCUUUCCCUUGUUCUCCAGUUGGGUGCCUGAUUGCCAAAACAUGAAUUGUAUUCCCUUGCUCUCCAGGUGGGCGCCUGAUUGCCAAAACUUCAACUGUAUUCCCUGGCUCUCUAGGUAGGUGCCUGAUUGCCAAAACUUUAACCGUCUUCAUUUGAAAAUUGUUGCUUUCCCUUUGUUCUCCAGGUGGGUGCCUAAUUUCCAACACUUGCACUGCUUUUCCCUUAAAACUUGACUCAUUUUCCUUUGUUCUCCGGGUGGGCUCCUGAUUACCGACACUUAAACUGCUUUUCCCUUUGUUCUCCAGGUGGGGUCCUGAUUACCGACACUUGAAUUGCUUUUGCUUUGUUCUCCAGGUGGGCUCCUGAUUACCGAUACUUGAAUUGCUCUCCCUUUGUUCUCCAGGUGGGCUCCUGAUUACCAAUUCUUGAAUUGCUUCUCCCUUUGUUCUCCAGGUGGGCUCCUGAUUUCCAACACUUGAAUUGCUUCUCCCUUUAUUCUCCAGGUGCGCUCCUGAUUUCCAAUACUUAAACUGCUUUUCCCUUUGUUCUCCAGGUGGGGUCCUGAUUACCGUCACUUGAAUUGCUUUUCCUUUGUUCUCCAGGUGGGCUCCUGAUUUCCAACACUUGAAUUGUUUCUCCCUUUGUUCUCCAGGUGGGCUCCUAAUUACCGAUACUUGAAUUGCUCCUCCCUUUGUUCUCCAGGUGGGCUCCUGAUUUUCAACACUUGAAUUGCUUCUCCCUUUGUUCUCCGGGUGGGCUCCUGAUUUCCAACACUUGAAUUGCUUCUCCCUUUGUUCUCCAGGUGGGCUCCUGAUUUCCGACACUUGGAUUGUUUUCCCUUUGUUCUCCAAGUGGGCUCCUGAUUACCAACAUUUGAAUUGCUUUCCCUUUGUUCUCCAGAUGAACUCCUGAUUUCCAACACUUGAACUGUUUUCCCUUUGUUCUCUAGGUGGGAUCCUGAUUUCCAACACUUGAAUUACUUUUCCCUUUGUUCUCCAGGUGGCCUCUUGAUUUCCGACACUUGAAUUGCUUCUCCCUUUGUUCUCCAGGUGGGCUCUUGAUUUCUGACACUUGAAUUGUUUUCCCUUUGUUCUCCAGGUGGGCUCCUGAUUUCCAACACUUGAACUGCUUUCCAUUUGUUCUCCUGGUGGGCUCCUGAUUUCCGACACUUGAAUUGCUUUUUCCUUUGUUCUCCAGGUGGGCUCCUGAUUUUCAACACUUGAACCGUAUUCCCUUGCUCUUCAGGUGAGUGCCUGAUUUCCUACUCGAACUGAUUCCUCUGAAACUGCUGCUUUCUCUUUGUUCUCUAGGUGGGUGUCUGAUUGCUGAAACUUGCUUUGUCCUUUUCUUUAAACUACUUUUCCUUUGAACUGUCCUCCUUUGUUCCUGAUUGCUUGACCCCGAACUACUUUCUAUUCUUGAAACUCAUGUUGUUCUCCCUUGCUCUCUAGGUGGGCACUUGAUUUCAACAAAAUAGACAAAACAAAGAAAAUUUCCUACCCCAGUUUGGUAGUUGGGCACAUCAGUGAGUGUUAAUUGAACCAUGUUACCAAAUAUCCCUAAGAAUUUGAAACCACUUAAUCUUAUAAUGCUAGGUCUUGUUACUCAUGAAUGUUUUGAAUUUUAACUAGGUCCCAUUAUCCAGAAGGGUCCUGAGAACUUCAAAUUAAAUCUCAUUAUCCAGGCUGGUCCUGAAUUUAUUUUUAAAAAAAAAAAAUUAAAUCCCAUUAUCCAGGAGAGUCCUGAGAAGUUUAGAAUGAACUUACCUGAGCCAUGCUCUCUUCCUGGAGGAUCUCUGCAGAAAGAACAUAAUUCCUUGCCCCUGAAGCAUGCUUUUCCUCAUGGAGGGUUCCUACAGAUCGAACAAAUUUUCCUUUCCCCUUCUCAAACCGCCUUUGUGCUGACAAAAUUUGGGCAUGACACUUGAAAAAAUUCAAACUUCCAAGCUUUCAUUUGGACACAAUUUUCGUCCCUGUUUCAAACAAAGAAAACUUGUGAGUUUAUAAAUAUGGUGGUUGGUUUGUGGCCUUGACUUUGAGGGCGAUUGCUCUUUCACUUCCCAUGAUAACUUUGGUUUCAACUCGAAAGACCUUGCUUGUUCAUUGACUAACCACUUUCUCUGUCACCCUUAUCCCAAGAGAUACCUCUGAUUCGUUCAAACCCAAACCCUCUAUCUGUUGCAUUGUGCUCAUGCAUUGAUAUAGACUGAGCCUUUGCAUUUCACAUGAAUCCCAAAGCACAUCAAUUGCCAUGCACUUAGUGCACAUGUUAUUCUUUCCUGACUUAAACACUGGCCUUGGCCUUGAGGACUAUUGCUCCUUCACUUGUCAUGAUAACUUUGAUUUCCGCUUGGAAGACCUUGCUUGUCAUUGGUUAACCACUUUCUCUGUCAAUUUUAUCACAGAAAAUACCUUUGAUCCGUUCACCCAACAUCCUCUAUCUGUUGCAUUGUUCAUGAAUUGACAUAUACCAAACCUUUGUAUUUCACAUGAAUUCCAAAGCAUGUUGAUUGUUACCAACUUAGUGUGCACAUUGUUCUUUCCUGACUUACGCCACUUUGAUGUGCUAGCAAGAUCCCAUUUUGUGCAAUUGGAAAGUUGUUGGCAAAUUUUGAAGUCAUUUCUCACUUGUUCUAACCAAACAGACUCAGGAAGAGGAAGUAAACGAGACAAAAGGAACAGAGUAAAGGACAAUGGAAAGGGAUGAUUCCUAACAAGAAAACUACAAAGUAGAAACUUAUCAGAUGUGGAUAUCAACUCUAAUGACCAUGACAUGCACCUAUGGUCUAAUCUGUCAAACAAGUCUGAUGUUCAACUCUUGUUAUACCCCUAAACCGUGAAACUGGGCUUCAAUGCUCCAAUUAUCCAAUCUCAUUCACAAUCCUUAUUCGACUUGUAGUGCUCGAAGGGUUUUCACCAUCAAGCCUCUCUCAUUUUGUUCUUUUUCUCAACUCACCAUCGCCUUAUGGUGCCUGUGAAGGUUUUCACCAAUAAGACUCUCAUUUUGUUCUUUUCUUCUUAUUUCCUCUGAUUCUGUAGAUGACAAGGCAUUAACCAUGGUAAAAACAUCAUAUACUCUUGAUAUGUCUAAACUCAGCACUUUCAAAGAUUAUCUGGGAGGUCUUUUUUGGACUAUAAUGUGGUUUUUGGACAGGGUUAGAAAGAAAGGAUAAAGGCUCAAAAUAAAUAAGACAACACGGUUAAUUUAUUUACAACUCUUGGAAUCUAAAACUUUGCCCCAAUUUCUAAAACAAGGGAAUUUGAUUCUUCUUUUAUUUUUCUUUUGAUGGAGUUACUAAGAAAGACUGCCCCACUCUCGACUUCGUGGGAUUAUGAAAUAUCUUAUUUGGUAUGACUGAACCGUAAGGCUACCUAUGUAUCUUGUGGUGACAAGAAUCAGGUCAAACGUAAUUCACACGACUACCUUUUGUUACUAUUUUCCUUUUUUUCUUUUUCAUUUUCCUUCAUUUUUUCUUUUUUCAUUUUUUUUUCCUUUUUUUCUUUAUCUCUAUUUUUCUCUUCUCUUUUUUUGAAUUUUCCUUUUGGAAUGAACUUUCUAAAAUAAACCUAUGGGGACAUGAACUUUUUUUUUCGUAUGACUCUAACUUGAUUACAAAAGAGGGGAGGUCAAGAAAAUCAGCAUAAGCUCAAAAGGGGUACCGAAUGGUAUAAAGUGUUUGGGUAGCUGAAAUAGGGCCUCCCAAUCCCUGAAAAUGCCAAGUAAAACACAUGCAACUUGAAAUAAAAAUAGAAGAUCAUGCACAAUAUUUCUUUUGCAGCUUCGGCAUUGAUAUUACUAAUAUGUCUUCCACUUUUCUUUAGUGCCUUGUCAAGUACAGAACCCUCAUUGGGUGAUUCCCUUUUCACAAUGGAUAUCCUCCGUCAAUUCGGAGAAAACUUCCUUGACUUUAUUUUGUAACUUGAGAUGCAUUUGGACUCAAAGUUGCUUGCUUUAAAUCAUCCGGGAUUCACUCUCCUUUAACGAAUUCUUGCCACCCUAUUUAACUUUCCAAAUUAUCUGCCCCAGUUUCACAUUGUUCGGGCUUCAAAUGAUCUCAAAAUGUUCAAAUCUGUACUUAUUUCCCUCAAGUGUCCCUACCAUCUUCAAAAUUAUUUCAUUGCUCCAUGAUUAAACUAACUUUUGAAACCAGACCUAGAAUUAUGUGUGCAUGUCAUAUCACUAGAGCCAGCAUAAAAAAGAACUAUAAAAAGAAAAGAGAGCUAAACAAAAAUGACUAGAAAUAACAAAAAACAAAAAAUUGCAUUAGACAGACGGUGAGAGGGUUUGAACAACAAUACAAGCAAAAUAAACUAGGGAUACAACCCUGGAACAAACCUAUAUAACACUAAAUGAGUUAAUAUGACUAAAGGAACUAGGCAAAGUAAAAGGAUAGAAGGGUUUGAGUCACAAGACAAUAUCCGAAUUACAACCCUGAAAUAACAUGGACAACAGAAAUGAUAACAAAAUGAACCACCAAGACUCCUCCCCGAGUAACCAAGAAAGGAGAUUCUUUCCAAUUGCCAAGCUCGGCAUAUUAGCCACUGAGUUCCACAUCAAUAUUACCAAGACCAUUCCAAUUUCAAUAUCAUUAACUUCACCAAGUGACUCAUUUGACCAACCCUUCAUCAUUGCCAACUAUCCCAACAAUCUGUGCAUUGUCAUGUACCUGUAGAGGAUUACAUGUGACACUUGGUGUAUUACUGCCUUGGACCGCAAUUAUUCCUCCUUGAAUCAUUCUUUCUAUUUCCCUUUUCAAAGCACGACAAUCUUCAACAUUGUGUCCCUGGGCAUUGGAAUGGUAUUCACACCUUUUAGUAGGGUCAAAGCUUCUCGCACGUGGGUCUAUAUAAUUUAGAGGAAUAGGUGCAAUCAUGUCAUAAUGCUUUAAUAUCUCAAACAAACUUGCAUAGGACUCUCCUAUUGGUGUAAAAUUAUCUUUCAGCCUUUGUUCCCUUUUACACCCUUGGCUUGAAUGUGGGUUGUAGGGCACUUGAAAAUUUUGUGAAGGCUAGUGAAGUUUUUGCGGUGCUCGUGCUCGCCUGUUGGAGUGACCUAGUGGUUGGACAGAUGGUCGGAUGUGGUUCGAAGGAUAAUACUGGGGUGAAUUAUGUGGAGUUUGGGGAUAUUCAUAGGGUCAGUAUUGAGGCUGAAAGCGUUUAGCAGGAAUGCCCACUGAAUCCCGUCGUUGGCGGGGCUCAGCAACAUCUUUUCUAUCAUUGGGAGGCCUGUCCCGAGAAACUUAUUCGUUCCAUCUGAACCAAAAUUCCCUAUAACUUUCCAUGGGUUUCUUUUCCAUCUGAGAUAGGGAGGAGCAAUCUGGGACACUGUCUAUAUUGUACUGAUAGUGUCGCACAAAAUCUUGAGCCAUGUCAUCCUAUGUUUGUCACUUACCGACAUCUUGGUGAGUAUUCCAUUCCAAGGUUGCCUCAGUCAGACUCUCACUGAAGUAUGCCAUCAGAAACUCAUCUUUCCCACCAACACUUCUCAUUCUACUUCAAUAACCCUUCAGAUGGGCUACUGGGUCUCUAUGCCCAUCAUACAAAUUAAACUUUGACAUCUUAAACCCUUUCAGCUUUCUGGAUAUCUCAUCUUGCUCUACUGCUUAGCAGGUUUGCAGUCUCACCGGGAGGCUCAAAAUGAGGAGCGUAAGAGUAUGGCCCGAGACCUUAAAAAUUGGUUCUAGAGAAUAGUGUUGGGCAUCGGGGAUUUUAAACACAGUCUCGCUAGAGGAUCGAGGAGAGGUAGCAGGUGAAUGAUCUACAAAAACAUGAGUGACCAAAGGAGCGGAAUAUGAGGUGGUUUUGGGGGGUAGAGUGUGAAAAGGUUGUGAGGAGAUAUCCUGGACUUGUGACAGUGGUGGAAUGGUGACAAGGCUUGGUGGAGGGCGCCCACUAAUCCAGGCUUGGUAUAUUUUGGCCAUCUGUCCUUCAAACCUUAAGACCUCUUCUCUCAUCUCAGAUUCUGAUUCAACAAUUCCCUUAGACGGAUCAAUGACCCUUGUGUCCCAUUCUUUGCUAGCCAUGACUACUUUGCUCUUUGACCUUGUGUUGUAUGGAUGAUUUACUUAAGAACCACAAACCAACCACCCUUCUGCUCAACGAAGAUAACAAAAAGAACAAAAUGGGGUCAUCCUGUCAGCGUUAGGGCAUUUAACAUAGGAUAAUCUCAUAUUAUGUGCAAUGCACCUAGUAGCAAUUAACGGCUCUAGAAUGACUUCUAGGGUCACAAGGUCACUUGGCAUCAUCCCAAUUUUGUUCAUUUCAAUCUUCUCUUUUCUUUUCUGUUCUCGCACUUCUUGGCUUAUUCAUUUUCUUUCCUCUCUUUUUUUCUAAUUAUCACACUUUUAUUUCCUCUCAUUUCUCACGUCCCACAACUUCAUCCUUUUUUCUCUUUUUUCUCUCCUUUUCUAUUUCUUUUAAUAAAUUAAAAAAAUGAUUCGAUCGAACCCUAUGUAGGUUGUCUGCGUAUCAUGACGCCACAUGAAUCAGAUCUUUGCGUAGUUUGGAAAGAUUGGGAAUAAAGUAAACUAACUAACGUUCUCAUUUCCUUUUCCUUUUUUUUCUUACCUUAAAGACGACUCUGAUGAGAAAAGAGAAAUAAAAGAAGCAAAUCUCCUUUUUUUUGAAUUUUCUAGACUUAAUGUUCUAUAACAUAUUCUAAACUCAAACUUAACGAUCAUACAUUUUUUUUAUUUUUUUUUCUUUUUGAAACAAACACUCUACGGGAAAUUAUUAAGGAAAAGAAAUCGUAGAAGAGAAAAAAAAAUUUGAUUUUGUUUUUUUAGGAGAGAAAUCAAAAGAAUAAACCGGAGAAAAAUAUUUGAUAUCCCUGAAGAAAGAUUUCGAAAUGAAAAAUGAACAAGAUAAAAAAUAUUUUUGGAUUUCAGUUUGAUUACCUAAGGAAGAAACUUUAAAGACAAACAAAAGAUAAAGUAUAUUUUUUUUCUUCUAUGUACAAUGUCCUGAAGUUAUAGUAAAAUAAAAAAAAUUAUUUUUCAUUAAUUUCCCAAAGAAGAACCUCAGAAGAAAAUCUUUUUGGAUUUUUUGGAAUUAAUACCUUAAAAGAAAACUCUUUAAAGAGGUACUAAAAGAAAAUUCUCUUUUUUUUUUCGAAUUUUUAGUCUAAUAUACUAAAGGAAAUAUAAAAAUAAUUUUUAUUUUAAGUUUUAGAUAUUAACUGCCUAAAGGAAAAAAUCACCUCAAAAGAAUUUUUUUUUUUAUUUCUAAAAUUAGUAUUCUAAAGAAAACUUCUAACAGAAAUAUAAAAUGCAAAACCUCUUUUUUUUUAUUUUUGAGUUACAACACACUUUUUCAAACCCAAAGUAGAAAGUACAAUAAUAUAAGACUCAACAUUACUGUACAAAACUAGAAAGUAAAAAAUGACAUAAAAUGAAAAACAGACUCAAAACAUAAAAAAAAAUCUCCUUAAGCAACCCUUGAAUGAGUGAUCCUGAUUGGAUGGUCCUGGGGCGUCUGCCAUACUCAAACUCUGGUAAAUAGACUCACACCUGUAUGAGAAAACUCAAACCAACACUAUGUGAGACAAUAACAUUCCCUACUAGACACAUGCAAGACAUGGUUGUUACUAUUUUUUUAAAAUUGACCUAUAUGGCUAAAAAUGCAAGAUUUGGCUAAGAACCCCGCGAAGCCAAGAACCUAAACUCACUAGAAAGACCGGACCCUAUGUGGGUUGCCUACGUAUCACGACCUGAAAGAUAAGAAUCGGGUAUGCGUAGUUCGGGCAGAUUGGAUACGGGCGAGAAUUAAAAAAACAACUAAUUUAGAGAAAAUAUUAUUUUUGUCUUUUUUUUUCUUGAAAAAUGAUGAAACAUGUAAACUCUUUUUGGAUUUUCUUUUUCCUUUUUUUGAUUUUCUGAUUUUCGGAAAAUGAUGAAAAAGUGCAAAAUCAUUUUUGAAUUUUUCAUUUUCAUAUUUUUUGUUUUUUUCUCUUGAAAAGUGUGAAAAAAAUUAUAACUGGGCCNNNNNNNNNNNNNNNNNNNNNNNNNNNNNNNNNNNNNNNNNNNNNNNNNNNNNNNNNNNNNNNNNNNNNNNNNNNNNNNNNNNNNNNNNNNNNNNNNNNNNNNNNNNNNNNNNNNNNNNNNNNNNNNNNNNNNNNNNNNNNNNNNNNNNNNNNNNNNNNNNNNNNNNNNNNNNNNNNNNNNNNNNNNNNNNNNNNNNNNNNNNNNNNNNNNNNNNNNNNNNNNNNNNNNNNNNNNNNNNNNNNNNNNNNNNNNNNNNNNNNNNNNNNNNNNNNNNNNNNNNNNNNNNNNNNNNNNNNNNNNNNNNNNNNNNNNNNNNNNNNNNNNNNNNNNNNNNNNNNNNNNNNNNNNNNNNNNNNNNNNNNNNNNNNNNNNNNNNNNNNNNNNNNNNNNNNNNNNNNNNNNNNNNNNNNNNNNNNNNNNNNNNNNNNNNNNNNNNNNNNNNNNNNNNNNNNNNNNNNNNNNNNNNNNNNNNNNNNNNNNNNNNNNNNNNNNNNNAAAUUCAGAGUCACCGCUUGGGAUAAUUUAUGGUGUCCCAAGUCACCGGUUUAAAAUCCCGAAUCGAGGAAGUUUGACUUUGUUUUACAGUCCGCGAACACAGAAAUCCGGGUAAGGAAUUUUGUUAACCCGGGAGAAGGUGUUAGGUAUUCUCGGGUUUCGUUGUUCUAACACGGUCGCUCAACUAUUAUUAUUGGCCUAAUUACCUGAUUUUUACAUUUUUUAAAACCUAUGUGCAUUUUAUUCCUUUUAACCGCUUUUAAUAUUUUUUAGGAAAAUUCAAGGUUGUUUAAAACACAUUGUAAUCCACGCUACAUGAAAUGCACUCAUGGUUCACGACACGUUUUAUUUAACCUUGUUAAAAAUUAGAACCGGGUCACAUGAAAUGUAUACCCAGAUUUUAGUAAUAGUCGUGAUAAUUAUAAUUAAUGCGCCUAAAGCAAAUAACGACGUUCAUGAAUUACUUAAUUAAUUUCCUAAGAGUUAUGAAAUCAUUAUGAAACCAAGCAUUAUCGAGAUACAAAAUUGGAAAAAAAUUUCAGCACUUAACAAAUGACUUGUGAAAAGUGGGUUUCCAGAACCCAAAUCCACCAAAUCGAAUGGGGCCUCUUUCACAGACCCAAAUAUAGCAGAAACGUCAAUUUAUGCCCCAAGAACACAACCCUUUUCCUCCAAUAUAGGGUUUUCCAUUUAAGUACAAGAGCUGAACCAAUUCACAGUAACAAUAGCACUAAAGAUUUCAGAAGAUUCCAUUAUAAGGUCAAUAAUAAUAAUAAUAAUAAUAAUAAUAAUAAUAAUAAUAAUAAUAAUACGAAUAAUGAUAGAGGGUAGUAUAAGGAAAAAGAAAGGCAACAAUGGAAGGUAAAGGAGGAGAGUAGUUGAUGAAGUUAUCAAAAAAAGAGUAAAAUGUAACAAAGUACUGAUAAAAAGAAACUAACCAAUAGUCAGAUUAUAUGUCAAACAACCGAUCAUCAAAUAUAUAGCAAAAAAAACCCCAGUUCCUUCUAAUCACGUCAAAAAGGAUCAAAACAUGACUUCAAAUAAGAAACAGAGAUCCAUUCAUCACUAAAUAUAACUAAGUACAAAGGGGCUCUUUUGAGUUUACCUCUUGAGUAAGCAAAGCAAUAAGGAGAAGCCAAAUAGAAGCUGAAAUCAAAUAGAAAACGCAGCAGUGCCGGAACCUCGCCGGAAUCUCGAACGGAACUGAACGACGACUUCAAAUUGCUUCCAACAUCUCAGCUCCAAACAACUCUCCAAACGAGCUUCAAAAAUGGAAUCUAUGGCUUUGAAACAGUUGUGGUGUGCGUUCGCCGGUUUCAAUGAUGGUCACCGGAAAGUCACUUCUCAUCAAAACAGGAGCUGCAAGCUCGCUGACUUCCGGCGAGUUUCAUCGCAUCAGCGAGAGGAGUGAAAGAAAGAGCAAGGUGAGGGAGAGAGAAACAGGAACGAGGUGAGAACGACAGUCUCGCCGGUGGAGCUGGUUAUGGAGAUGGCAGAAGAGGCUGGUUGUUGUGGUGGCUAGUCGUUUUGAGAGGAGAUGUGCCGGCGGCGUUGGGCUGCUAUGGAGGGGCUGUUGUCGAAGGAGAUGAGCUUAGGGGGGUCAUUCUUUAGUUCUUGUGGCUGUUUUUCUGAAAGUUUUCUAGGGUUGUUUUUUUUGCUUCUCUUCAUGGAGAAGAUGAAGCUUAGCUUCCAAAAAUAGAAACAGCCGAUCUUAGCUUUAUGCGUAUAGGUCUGUUUAGGUAUUAUCUCUAAUGGAGAAGAUGAGCUAAUGGUCUACUGUGUAUUCCCCAUUCAGAAAACGGUCGGUCUUAGCUUAGUCUUAGGUCUAUCUUUUUUUUGUAUUUUUCUCUUGAUUUCUGAAGCAAAAAUCGGCGGAUUGUUA